rnacentral:rRNA from 1 species
GAUGAACGCUGGCGGCAUGCCUAAUACAUGCAAGUCGAACGGACCUUUAUUUUUGAGAGUUCCUUCAUAGAAGUUCUCAUAAAUACUGGUUAGUGGCGGACGGGUGAGUAACACGUUGGUACCUGCCCUCUAGUGGGGAAUAACUGGCCGAAAGGUUGGCUAAUACCGCAUGUGGUCUACGGAUCAAAAGCAGUAAUGCGCUAGAGGAGGGGCCUGCGUCUGAUUAGCUAGUUGGUAGUGUAAUGGACUACCAAGGCGACGAUCAGUAGCUGGUUCGAGAGGAUGACCAGCCACACUGGGACUGAGAUACGGCCCAGCUCCUACGGGAGGCAGCAGUAAGGAAUCUUCCACAAUGGACGAAAGUCUGAUGGAGCAAUGCCGCGUGCAGGAUGAC